UGAUAAAAAGAGGAGUCUAACCCCCAUGAAUGGGACUACAGCCCACCGCCUAAACACUCGGCCACUUUACC
rnacentral:tRNA from 1 species